UACGUAGGGGGCUAGCGUUGUCCGGAAUCAUUGGGCGUAAAGCGCGUGUAGGCGGCCAGGUAAGUCCGUUCUGAAAGCCCGGGGCUCAACCCCGGGAGGCGGAUGGAUACUGCUUGGCUCGAGUCCGGAAGAGGCGAGUGGAAUCCCGGUGUAGCGGUGAAAUGCGCAGAUAUCGGGAGGAACACCAAUGGCGAAGGCAGCUCGCUGGGACGGUACUGACGCUGAGACGCGAAAGCGUGGGG
rnacentral:rRNA from 1 species